UGAUUGUUGUGCAUGCUUACACUUUAUCUUUGACCAAAAUUCUAUGCCUUUGGCAAUCUAAUCCUUAAAGUCUUUUGAAGUACUUUACAAGAUCAGUGCCUUGAAAGGAAGCAUUUUAAGAUGUCAAUGGUCUUAUUUAUUGACAUUUUUUUAUAUAUCUGAGUGCAUAGUGGUGUGGUUGCUUCAUAGUUCAAAGCUACGUAGAGGGUCUAUAUCAUUUCAAAUGGUUGAUGGUUUAGAUAACUUAAAAACUGGGGGCGUAUGAAUGUGUUGUAGCCCUUUCUUGUCCUGUUUAAAUGAAGUAAUGUAAUGUAUAUUUAUGUUCAUUAUUCAUUCUGUUGACAGGUCUAUAG
rnacentral:misc_RNA from 1 species